rnacentral:rRNA from 1 species
UGGGUUUAAAGGGAGCGUAGGCUGGAGAUUAAGUGUGUUGUGAAAUGUAGACGCUCAACGUCUGACUUGCAGCGCAUACUGGUUUCCUUGAGUACGCACAACGUUGGCGGAAUUCGUCGUGUAGCGGUGAAAUGCUUAGAUAUGACGAAGAACUCCGAUUGCGAAGGCAGCUGACGGGAGCGCAACUGACGCUGAAGCUCGAAGGUGCGGGUAUCGAACAGGAUUAGAUACCCUGGUAGUCCGCACAGUAAACGAUGGAUGCCCGCUGUUGGUACCUGGUAUCAGCGGCUAAGCGAAAGCAUUAAGCAUCCCACCUGGGGAGUACGCCGGCAACGGUGAAACUCAAAGGAAUUGACGGGGGCCCGCACAAGCGGAGGAACAUGUGGUUUAAUUCGAUGAUACGCGAGGAACCUUACCCGGGCUUGAA